GUGAGGAAUUUUCCGCAAUGGGCGAAAGCCUGACGGAGCAAUGCCGCGUGAAGGAUGAAGGCCUAUGGGUUGUAAACUUCUUUUCUCAGAAAAGAAUUAUGACGGUAUCUGAGGAAUAAGCAUCGGCUAACUCUGUGCCAGCAGCCGCGGUAAGACAGAGGAUGCAAGCGUUAUCCGGAAUGAUUGGGCGUAAAGCGUCUGUAGGUUGUUUAAAAAGUAUUCUGUCAAAGAUUAGGGCUUAACCCUAGAUAGGCAGAAUAAACUUUUAAGCUAGAGUUUGGUAGAGGCAGAGGGAAUUCCCGGUGGGGCGGUGAAAUGCGUAGAUAUCGGGAGGAACACCAAAGGCGAAGGCACUCUGCUGGGCCAAUACUAACACUGAGAGACGAAAGCGAGGGGAGCAAAUGGGAUUAGAAACCCUUGUAGUCC
rnacentral:rRNA from 1 species